rnacentral:rRNA from 1 species
UGGCGGGCGGGUGAGUAACGCGUGGGUAACCUGCCUCAUACAGGGGGAUAACAGUUAGAAAUGACUGCUAAUACCGCAUAAGACCACAGCACCGCAUGGUGCAGGGGUAAAAACUCCGGUGGUAUGAGAUGGACCCGCGUCUGAUUAGGUAGUUGGUGGGGUAACGGCCUACCAAGCCGACGAUCAGUAGCCGACCUGAGAGGGUGACCGGCCACAUUGGGACUGAGACACGGCCCAA